UACGGAGGGUGCAAGCGUUAUUCGGAAUCAUUGGGUGUAAAGCGCGUGUAGGCGGCUUGGAAAGUCAGAUGUGAAAGCUUCGGGCUUAACCCGGAAAGUGCAUUUGAAACUCCCUAGCUUGAGUCCCGGAGAGGAAGGUGGAAUUCCCAGUGUAGAGGUGAAAUUCGUAGAUAUUGGGAGGAACACCGGUGGCGAAGGCGACCUUCUGGACGGUGACUGACGCUGAGACGCGAAAGCGUGGGUAGCAAACAGG
rnacentral:rRNA from 1 species